rnacentral:rRNA from 1 species
UACGUAGGGUGCAAGCGUUAUCCGGAAUUAUUGGGCGUAAAGAGCUCGUAGGCGGUUUGUCGCGUCUGCUGUGAAAACUGGAGGCUCAACCUCCAGCCUGCAGUGGGUACGGGCAAACUAGAGUGCGGUAGGGGAGAUUGGAAUUCCUGGUGUAGCGGUGGAAUGCGCAGAUAUCAGGAGGAACACCAAUAGCGAAGGCAGCUCGCUGGGACGUUACUGACACUGAGACGCGAAAGCGUGGGGAGCGAACAGG